rnacentral:rRNA from 1 species
CUACGGGGUGCUGCCGUGAGGAAUAUUGCACAAUGGGGGGAACCCUGAUGCAGCAACGCCGCGUGGAGGAUGACGCAUUUCGGUGUGUAAACUCCUUUUAUAUGUCAAGAAAAUGACGGUAGCAUAUGAAUAAGCACCGGCUAACUCCGUGCCAGCAGCCGCGGUAAUACGGAGGGUGCAAGCGUUACUCGGAAUCACUGGGCGUAAAGGACGCGUAGGCGGGUUGGAAAGUCAGGUGUGAAAUCCUACAGCUUAACUGUAGAACUGCACUUGAAACUUCUAAUCUAGAGUAUGGGGGGGGAGAUGGAAUUAGUGGUGUAGGGGUAAUAUCCGUAGAUAUCACUAGGAAUACCUAAAGCGAAGGCGAUCUCCUGGAACAUUACUGACGCUAAGGCGUGAAAGCGUGGGGAGCAAACAGGAUUAGAUACCCUCGUAGUC